UACAGAGGGGGCAAGCGUUGUUCGGAAUUACUGGGCGUAAAGCGCACGUAGGCGGCUUUGCAAGUUAGAGGUGAAAGCCCGGGGCUCAACUCCGGAAUUGCCUUUAAAACUGCAUCGCUAGAAUUGUGGAGAGGUAAGUGGAAUUCCGAGUGUAGAGGUGAAAUUCGUAGAUAUUCGGAAGAACACCAGUGGCGAAGGCGACUUACUGGACACAUAUUGACGUUGAGGUGCGAAAGCGUGGGGAGCAAACAGG
rnacentral:rRNA from 1 species